AGUAAUUUAUUUUAUCACCAAGAAAUACACACUGUACAUACAGAACGAGAUAAGAAAAGAGAGGAAAAUAAUGCAUUUCAGGGUGAAAGGGGACGCGAUAAACCAGCAUUGGUUAUCGAGCAACGACACCUAUGAAUAGUCUAACAUUGGGUUAUACAAGAACAAAAAUCGAACUAAAUACAAUACUAAAGUGAGGAGUCGGACGCCAAAAUACUAACAUUGGCAGAAAUAUGUUUAAAAAGACCGGAUAUUUCUGGACUCACUAAGCAAAAGACUCCGAACGCCGACUGGCAGAUAACCAUGACAACUACGGCACAAAUACGGUAACGUCUAAGUGACUGGAGCACCAUAUUGCAAGCUGAGUUGGACGGUACCGGCCCUGUGCUGAUGCAUGGUUCAUAAAGGCUGGGGACGAAUUUGUACACGAGGAUAAUAUGAAGAGAGAAAAAGAAUAAAAUGUAUCUACAGGUUUGGGCAACGGAUUAAGAGAUCACUAAACCAGGUUACUUGGACUCGAGGACUGUGGAUCAAGUCGAGUAAACUCAUUGUAUGAUCAAGUAAUCCUGGAGAAUUCACUUUGCAAAUUCAACUGGACCGUGUUCACCUUAUUUUGUAAUGUGGUCAAAUCUGUCGC